ACUAGAGUAGCACUCGCAUAUCAAUAAGCGGAGGAAAAGAAACUAACAAGGAUUCCCCUAGUAACGGCGAGUGAAGCGGGAAGAGCUCAAAUUUGAAAUCUUAAAGGGUUUCCCUUUACGAAUUGUAGUUUAAAGAAGUGUUUUCUGUUGAGGUUUUGGUAAAAGUUCUUUGGAAUAGGGACAUCAUAGAGGGUGAGAAUCCCGUAUUUGACCUUUACUUUCAACUUUGUGAUACACUUUCAAAGAGUCGGAUUGUUUGGGAAUGCAGUCCAAAAUGGGUGGUAAAUUUCAUCUAAAGCUAAAUAUUGGCGAGAGACCGAUAGCGAACAAGUACCGCUGAGGGAAAGAUGAAAAGAACUUUGAAAAGAGAGUUAAACAGUACGUGAAAUUGUCAAAAGGGAAGCGUUUGACACCAGUGUUGUUUUUCUGAAAAUCAAUUAAAGAACUGUUUAUGCUAAGCUGUUUAGACUUUAUCAGCUAUCUGUUUAGUUUUGAGCUCUUCUUUAAUGCACUUUUCAGUUAACAAGUCAACAUCAAUUUCUUUUGCUGUAAAAAAGCUUAAGGAAGGUGGCUUGAGAUUCGUCUUAAGUGUUUAUAGCCUCUUGCCUAUGCAGUCGGAGAGAUUGAGGUCUGCAGCGUAGAUCCUUCGGGGCUAAAUGCAUUUGUGCUAAGUUAUAGCAUUUUAUAGACAACUUGCUGACUAUGAUUUGUCUUGUAGCUUACUCGCUUAUGUUAUUUUACCUACGCUUAGGAUGUUGAGUCAUCACACAUCUCU
rnacentral:rRNA from 1 species